UAGCUCAGUUGGUUGGAGCCUGGUGCUGGUAACACCAAGGUUGUGGGUUUGAUCCCUC
rnacentral:tRNA from 1 species